rnacentral:lncRNA from 1 species
CUGGACAGACUGCUGCCAUGCCGGCUGGCUAGGUCACUCUGUUCGAGAAACUACACAGACAAUGAUGCCUUUGCUCUGCUCCCGGUCACCGUCAAAAUCCUUCAGUUAGACAAUAAAAGAAGAAACCUCCAUGAUAGAAAUUUUAAAAUCAGUUCUGGCACAAUGGAUGUCAUUUUUGUGACGGAUUCUAUUUUAAGUAAGGAGUAAGUAGUCAGAUAUGCAAAUUAAAUACUUAUUAGCAUCAGAAAGAAAAGAAGAAGGAAAAACUGAACUGGUAAAAAUUCCUUUUCAACUUUAGAUGGAGAAACAUGAUGGAAGGGAGGAAAGCUAAUCACUAAAGUGGAAAGGAGAAAAUAUUUUUACUUUAGAGGUUUGGAAGAAUUCUGAACAGGUGGAAAAAUAGCUCAGUGAACAGCAUAGUAUUAAUUACAGCACAUAACCAACCCUGUGGCUAAUCUACAACAAUGAUCCUCUUUAAUUAACUAUCAAGACAGACAGAACUGGCUUACCUAGCAAAUAAGCAUCAAG